GCAAAUGGACUCGCAUGGACGAAGUCUGACGGAGCACGCCGCGUGAGUGAUGAAGGUUUUCGGAUCGUAAAGCUCUGUUGUUAGGGAAGAACAAGUGCAAGAGUAACUGCUUGCACCUUGACGGUACCUAACCAGAAAGCCACGGCUAACUACGUGCCAGCAGCCGCGGUAAUACGUAGGUGGCAAGCGUUGUCCGGAAUUAUUGGGCGUAAAGGGCUCGCAGGCGGUUUCUUAAGUCUGAUGUGAAAGCCCCCGGCUCAACCGGGGAGGGUCAUUGGAAACUGGGAAACUUGAGUGCAGAAGAGGAGAGUGGAAUUCCACGUGUAGCGGUGAAAUGCGUAGAGAUGUGGAGGAACACCAGUGGCGAAGGCGACUCUCUGGUCUGUAACUGACGCUGAGGAGCGAAAGCGUGGGGAGCGAACAGGAUUAGAUACCCUGGUAGUCCACGCCGUAAACGAUGAGUGCUAAGUGUUAGGGGGUUUCCGCCCCUUAGUGCUGCAGCUAACGCAUUAAGCACUCCGCCUGGGGAGUACGGUCGCAAGACUGAAACUCAAAGGAAUUGACGGGGGCCCGCACAAGCGGUGGAGCAUGUGGUUUAAUUCGAAGCAACGCGAAGAACCUUACCAGGUCUUGACAUCCUCUGACAACCCUAGAGAUAGGGCUUUCCCUUCGGGGACAGAGUGACAGGUGGUGCAUGGUUGUCGUCAGCUCGUGUCGUGAGAUGUUGGGUUAAGUCCCGCAACGAGCGCAACCCUUGAUCUUAGUUGCCAGCAUUCAGUUGGGCACUCUAAGGUGACUGCCGGUGACAAACCGGAGGAAGGUGGGGAUGACGUCAAAUCAUCAUGCCCCUUAUGACCUGGGCUACACACGUGCUACAAUGGACAGAACAAAGGGCUGCGAGACCGCAAGGUUUAGCCAAUCCCACAAAUCUGUUCUCAGUUCGGAUCGCAGUCUGCAACUCGACUGCGUGAAGCUGGAAUCGCUAGUAAUCGCGGAUCAGCAUGCCGCGUGAAUACGUUCCCGGGCCUUGUACACACCGCCCGUCACACACGAGAGUUGCACAC
rnacentral:rRNA from 1 species